GAUGAACGCUGGCGGCGUGCUUAACACAUGCAAGUCGAACGGGAAACCUUUUAUUGAAGCUUCGGCAGAUUUAGCUGGUUUCUAGUGGCGGACGGGUGAGUAACGCGUGGGUAACCUGCCUUAUACAGGGGGAUAACAACCAGAAAUGGUUGCUAAUACCGCAUAAGCGCACAGGACCGCAUGGUCCGGUGUGAAAAACUCCGGUGGUAUAAGAUGGACCCGCGUUGGAUUAGCUAGUUGGCAGGGUAACGGCCUACCAAGGCGACGAUCCAUAGCCGGCCUGAGAGGGUGAACGGCCACAUUGGGACUGAGACACGGCCCAGACUCCUACGGGAGGCAGCAGUGGGGAAUAUUGCACAAUGGGGGAAACCCUGAUGCAGCGACGCCGCGUGAAGGAAGAAGUAUCUCGGUAUGUAAACUUCUAUCAGCAGGGAAGAUAGUCACGGUACCUGACUAAGAAGCCCCGGCUAACUACGUG
rnacentral:rRNA from 1 species